CCUACGGGAGGCAGCAGUGAGGAAUAUUGGUCAAUGGACGCAAGUCUGAACCAGCCAUGCCGCGUGCAGGAAGACGGCUCUAUGAGUUGUAAACUGCUUUUGUACGAGGGUAAACUCAGAUACGCGUGUCUUUCUGAAAGUAUCUUACGAAUAAGGAUCGGCUAACUCCGUGCCAGCAGCCGCGGUAAUACGGAGGAUUCAAGCGUUAUCCGGAUUUAUUGGGUUUAAAGGGUGCGUAGGCGGUCGGAUAAGUUAGAGGUGAAAGUCCGAGGCUCAACUGCGGAAUUGCAUCUGAUACUGGUAGGCUAGAGAGUAGUUGAGGUAGGCGGAAUGUAUGGUGUAGCGGUGAAAUGCUUAGAGAUCACACAGAACACCGAUUGCGAAGGCAGCUUACUAAGCUACGUCUGACGUUGAGGCACGAAAGCGUGGGUAGCAAACAGGAUUAGAUACCCGAGUAGUC
rnacentral:rRNA from 1 species